CACUGACCUUAUCUCAUCUUCCCAAUGGAGUUAUAUCAUAGUUUUUGUUAGGCCAGUAGUGGCUGUUCAUAUUAUUUUCACUAUGUAAAUAAUAUUCGUUGUGAUGUCAAGUAGUGAAUUUUGAUUGUUUCAUGUCUUGAACAGCCCUUUGUUUUUUAUGAAGUUAUAAUAAUUAAUUUAGUUUACUAUGCACCAGUUCUAUCAAAUGCCUAUUAAUACUUUCUCUCAAAUGGCCAACGUAUCAAAUAAUCUUUUUUUUAAUAUUUUUAAAUUUGUAGAUGGACACAAUAUCAUUAUUUAUUUUUAUGUGGUGCUGGGGAUCAAACCCAGUGCCUCACACAUGCUAGGCAAGUGCUCAACCCCAGCCCUCAAAUAAUCUUAAGAAAUUAAUUAUCCUUCUCCUGGAGGCUUGUCCCAAUGCUCUACUAAAUAACUUUUAGUAACCAGCGCCACCUGCUGACUAUUGAUGAAGUAGAAAAAUCAGAAUUAAGAGUCACAUAGUUAGCCUUUGGGGGAAGUAGAUAAGGCCUGUAAUCCCAUAGACCUGGAAGGCUGAGGUAGGAGGAGGAUGGCAAGUUCAAAGCCAGCCUCAGCAAUUUAGCAAGGCCUGAAGCAACUUAGAGAGGCCCUGUCUCAAAUAAAAAAAAAGGGGUUGGGGAUGUGGCUCAGUAGUGCUUAAGCACCUCUGGGUUCAGUCCCUGGUACCCAAAACAAAAGUCACAGGGUUGGUGUUUUAACUGGUAAAUAUCAUGGUUUCUGACCUUCUAAAUGACAUUCUGGAGAAAGGGAUAUGGACCUUAUGUUAGGACUAGAGAGGAGAAUAUAAAAAUAAUUGAAUAUUCUCUUUCUUCCCCUUGCCUUAUCAUUGUACUCUGUUUUCCUAGAAAGAAAGUCUGUGUUCAGAUAUUUCUUUUCUAAGCCUUCUGUCUGAUCCACCAAAGGAAUAAGGAAAGGUGGGCUACCGUUUUUUAAAAAUUACAUUUUUAUUUUCAUAUACUUGAUAUAUGAUAGAUUAUACAUAUUUAAAGGGUAUAAUUUCAUUGGUUAUCCGUGAAAUGACUGCCACAAUCAAGAUAAUAAACAUUUCUGUCCCUCCCCAAAGUUCCUUUUGCCUUCCAUUCAUUUUCUCGCCACCCCCCCCUUCUUCUUCUUUAUAACUUAGGUGCAUUUUAUUAGUUUUCUUCCAAAAUCCUAUGAAAGAGCAAAGUUAAGCGGGGUGCGGUGGUGCAUGCCUAUAAUCCCAGCAGCUCAGGAGGCUGAGGCAGGAGGAUCACAAUUUCAAAGUCAGCCUCAGCAAAAGUGAGGUGCUAAAUCAUUUCAGGGAGACCCUGUCUCUCAAUAAAAAAUACAAA
rnacentral:lncRNA from 1 species